CCCGCUGAACUUAAGCAUAUCAAUAAGCGGAGGAAAAGAAACCAACAGGGAUUGCCUUAGUAACGGCGAGUGAAGCGGCAAAAGCUCAAAUUUGAAAUCGGCCAUCAGGUCGAGUUGUAAUUUGUAGAUUGUACUUUGAGAGCGGAUUAAAGUCUGUUGGAA
rnacentral:rRNA from 1 species